rnacentral:rRNA from 1 species
GACGAACGCUGGCGGCGUGCUUAACACAUGCAAGUCGAACGGAAAGGCCCUGCUCUUGUGGGGUGCUCGAGUGGCGAACGGGUGAGUAACACGUGAGUAACCUGCCCUUGACUUUGGGAUAACUUCAGGAAACUGGGGCUAAUACCGGAUAGGAGCUCCUGCUGCAUGGUGGGGGUUGGAAAGUUUCGGCGGUUGGGGAUGGACUCGCGGCUUAUCAGCUUGUUGGUGGGGUAGUGGCUUACCAAGGCUUUGACGGGUAGCCGGCCUGUGCGCGUGACCGGCCACGUUGGGACUGGGAUACGGCCCAGACUCCUACGGGAGGCAGAAGUGGGGAAUAUUGCACAAUGGGAGGAAGCCUGAUGCAGCAACGCCGCGUGCGGGAUGACGGCCUUCGGGUUGUAAACCGCUUUCGCCUGUGACGAAGCGUGAGUGACGGUAAUGGGUAAAGAAGCACCGGCUAACUACGUG